UUGAGCAUCAAACUUUUAAAUUGAAGAGUUUGAUCAUGGCUCAGAUUGAACGCUGGCGGCAGGCCUAACACAUGCAAGUCGAACGGUAACAGGAAGCAGCUUGCUGCUUCGCUGACGAGUGGCGGACGGGUGAGUAAUGUCUGGGAAACUGCCUGAUGGAGGGGGAUAAC
rnacentral:rRNA from 1 species